CUGGGAGCUUGCUACCUCCAUGGCAAAUGGUUGCCCACGGGGGUGGCUGUUUCUCAUAUGCUGGAGCAAGAAUGGUACAGGACCAUGUUUUACUGCCCAGAUAAUAUCAAAAUGCAUUCUCUGAUGUAACUAGAGCUUGAUCCCUUAACUGCUUUGAAAACUCAAACCAAGGCUUUCAGCUGGAAAAGGAACGUGACUGGAUGCCAGUGGAAGGUUUUCAGGACAAGCUUCAUGUUCCUACUAAACCCAGCACCCUGGAAGAAGAGCAGUCACAUAGGCACCAUCAGGGGCUGGAUGAAUGGGAGUAGGAGCUGAAGUCUAAUCCAGGCAGAUGGUUGUCAAGAGCUGUACACAGAAUCUGAGAAUACAGAAAGAAAUAAGAAGAGAACUUCCACCAUUUUGGUUCUGUAUCAUGAAUGGCAUUUUCUCUGUGUCUGAGAAGACAUCCUUCUUAUGAAAGGCCCACUACUGUAACAAAAGCUCCCUUAGCCCAUGAUGCUGUAAAACCCAGGAUGAUUAUGGCGGUGAGCAAAAUCUUCUGUGCGCACUCUUAUAGCCUCAACUGCUGCAAGCUGACUUAGCAUCGUUGACUUUAAUGGUCCUGUGUUUGCAAAGCACUUCUGCCAGCUGUGAAUCUGAACCACUGUAUUAAAUUCAUUACAACGUGAGCUAACUAUCCAGGGACUAUGUUUAGACUUCAGAUGAUCCUGUGUAAAUACACCAGGAAAACAUUUCCAGGAAGCUCCUAAUUUAGCCUUUUCCAGUGGUCCAAUUACUUUGUAUUUCAUUAAAAUUGCCUACUCAAAGAAUUAAGGAGAGGAAAAUAAACAACCCUCAGGGCUCAUGUUUGUGAUGUCUGCCACAGAGUCACAGGGCAUACUUUGAGGUGCUGCCUUGUAAAGAUUAUUUUGCCUUAGUGAACAAAAUUCAAGUUUUCCCUCACACUGAAGAAAGAGCACAUGAUGGCCUCCCAAAUAUAUAGAAGCUUAAGAAACUCAAAUGGAGAGUCAAGACAAUAACUGUUUUUGGAGAGGAAAAGGCAACACAGAUGUGAGUUUUUUGGAUGUGAUCCGUUUCUUGGUGUUAUUUCAGCAUUUUGCUUGUAAAGGAUGUGUACAAAUUCAGUGCAUUAGACUGAUGUAGGGAAAGAACACAUGUAGUUACAAAAAUGCCUGACAGAUGGGAAGUGCUUGGGGGAUCUGAGGUCAGAGGAUAACUGAUUGCUCAUAUGUUAUCUAGUAAAAUAAAUAAAUAAUUGACAGUUCAGUCUCUACAAAAUCAGUGAAAAGAGCACAGGUUGCCAGGUCUGGAGAACAAUAUAUAGAUUGCUGAACACAGCUGUUGAGAUUUUAGAGAUAGUAUUGAAUGAUCUUUCUAUUAACAAAUAAGAUAUUGGACGCUGCCUAAUUUUAACUGUUGCAUACAAGUUGGAAAUGAUGGAAUUUUUGCACAGUAAGACAUGAACUUUCUGGAAAUAAUGAUGAUCUUCUUGAAUUGCAGGAACCGCUCUUACACAAUGCCUGUGAAACUUCAGCAAAAAUAGAGCACAGCAAAUGCUUCACAGGGAAGGACUCCAGUCAAAUGGAUAAUGAAAGCAAACAUAUGCAAGCCAGAAAACCACUCCAGACCUUAAAAACAAUUAAAAGCCAUUAUGUUAAAAGUAAUCACUGCAGCAUUCUGGAUAGUACAAAAAACCUAAACAUGCUACAAGUCAUACUCUACAUUGCAAGGGCUGGGCUGUGACUUAGGGUUUCCAAGAACAAUUGAUGGUCACAGGUGAAGAAUACUAUCUUACAAUCAUAGAAUCAUUUUGGUUGGGUUGGUCCUUUAAGAUCAUUAAGUCCAACUUAACCUAGCACUGCAGAGUCACCACUAAACCAUGUCCUUCGGCACUACCUCUGCAUGGUUUUUAAACAUCUCCAGGUAUGGGGACUCCACCACUUCCCAGGGCAGUGUAUU